rnacentral:rRNA from 1 species
UAACUUCGUGCCAGCAGCCGCGGUAAUACGAAGGGACCUAGCGUAAUUCGGAAUUACUGGGCGUAAAGCGCGCGUAGGCGGUUAAGUAAGUUAAUUGUGAAAGCCCAAAGCUCAACUUUGGAAUUGCAAUUAAAACUACUUAGCUAGAGUUUAUCAGAGGAAAGCGGAAUACAUAGUGUAGAGGUGAAAUUCGUAGAUAUUAUGUAGAACACCAGUUGCGAAGGCGGCUUUCUGGGAUAACACUGACGCUGAGGUGCGAAAGUAUGGGUAGCGAAGAGGAUUAGAUACCCUCGUAGUCCAUACUGUAAACGAUGAUUGUUAGAUGUUGGAAAUUUAUUUUCAGUAUCACAGCUAACGCGUUAAACAAACCGCCUGGGGAGUACGACCGCAAGGUUAAAACUCAAAUGAAUUGACGGGGACCCGCACAAGCGGUGGAGCAUGUGGUUUAAUUCGAAGCUACGCGCAGAACCUUACCAACACUUGACAUGUCUGUCGCGGAUUCCAGAGAUGGAUUCCUUCGGUUCGGCCGGACAGAACACAGGUGCUGCAUGGCUGUCGUCAGCUCGUGUCGUGAGAUGUUGGGUUAAGUCCCGCAACGAGCGCAACCCCUACUUCUAGUUGCCAUCAGGUUAAGCUGGGCACUCUAGUAGGACUGCCUGUGAUAAGCAGGAGGAAGGUUGGGAUGACGUCAAGUCCUCAUGGCCCUUACGUGUUGGGCUACACACGUGCUACAAUGGCAGUGACAAUGAGAUGCUAAACGGCAACGUUAAGCUAAACUCAAAAACCUGCCUCAGUUCGGAUUGCACUCUGCAACUCGAGUGCAUGAAGCUGGAAUCGCUAGUAAUCGCUCAUCAGCGCGGAGCGGUGAAUACGUUCCCGGGUCUUGUACACACCGCCCGUCACACCAUGGAAGUUGGUUUUACCUUAAGGCAUGUCACUAACCUUCGGGAAGUGCGUGACCACGGUAUGAUCGGCGACUGGGGUGAAGUCGUAACAAGGUAGCCGUAGGGGAACC